CCUACGGGAGGCAGCAGUAGGGAAUUUUCGUCAAUGGGCGCAAGCCUGAACGAGCAAUGCCGCGUGAACGAGGAAGGUCUUCGGAUCGUAAAGUUCUGUUGAAGGGGAAAAAGAGCGGAGAGAGGAAAUGAACUCCGAUUGAUAUUACCCUUCGAGGAAGUCACGGCUAACUACGUGCCAGCAGCCGCGGUAAUACGUAGGUGGCAAGCGUUAUCCGGAUUUAUUGGGUGUAAAGGGCGUGUAGGCGGGAGCGCAAGUCAGAUGUGAAAACUCAGGGCUCAACCCUGAGCCUGCAUUUGAAACUG
rnacentral:rRNA from 1 species